GGGUCAUCCCGACUUACCAACCCUUUGCAAACUCCGAAUACCGAUGAGAACUAUCCGGGAGACACACGGCGGGUGCUAACGUCCGUCGUGAAGAGGGAAACAACCCAGACCGCCAGCUAAGGUCCCCAAGUACCAGUUAAGUGGGAAACGAUGUGGGAAGGCUCAGACAGCUAGGAGGUUGGCUUAGAAGCAGCCACCCUUUAAAGAAAGCGUAAUAGCUCACUAGUCGAGUCGGCCUGCGCGGAAGAUGUAACGGGGCUCAAACUGGUCACCGAAGCUGCGGCUGCAUACUUUGUAUGCGGGGUAGGGGAGCGUUCUGUAAGCCUGCGAAGGUGAGUUGAGAAGCUUGCUGGAGGUAUCAGAAGUGCGAAUGCUGACAUGAGUAACGAUAAUGGGGGUGAAAAACC
rnacentral:rRNA from 1 species